AUGCACGCUGGCGGCGUGCCUCAUCCCUGCAAGUCGCGCGAACAGACGAGGAGCUUGCUCCUCUGACGUUAGCGGCGGACGGGGGAGUAACACGUGGAUAACCUACCUAUAAGACUGGGAUAACUUCGGGAAACCGGAGCUAAUACCGGAUAAUAUAUUGAACCGCAUGGUUCAAUAGUGAAAGACGGUUUUGCUGUCACUUAUAGAUGGAUCCGCGCCGCAUUAGCUAGUUGGUAAGGUAACGGCUUACCAAGGCAACGAUGCGUAGCCGACCUGAGAGGGUGAUCGGCCACACUGGAACUGAGACACGGUCCAGACUCCUACGGGAGGCAGCAGUAGGGAAUCUUCCGCAAUGGGCGAAAGCCUGACGGAGCAACGCCGCGUGAGUGAUGAAGGUCUUCGGAUCGUAAAACUCUGUUAUUAGGGAAGAACAAAUGUGUAAGUAACUAUGCACGUCUUGACGGUACCUAAUCAGAAAGCCACGGCUAACUACGUG
rnacentral:rRNA from 1 species